UGAAUUAACUGAAUUUGAAAUAUUUAGAAAGGAAAGAUACAGAGAAGAUUAGCAUGGCCCCCUUGCAAGGAUGACAUGCAAAUUCGUGAAGUGUUCCAUAUUUUU